AUUGAACGCUGGCGGCAUGCCUUACACAUGCAAGUCGAACGGCAGCACGGACUUCGGUCUGGUGGCGAGUGGCGAACGGGUGAGUAAUAUAUCGGAACAUACCUUGUAGUGGGGGAUAACUAUCCGAAAGGAUAGCUAAUACCGCAUACGCUCUAAGGAGGAAAGCGGAGGAUCGUAAGACCUCGUGCUAUAAGAGUGGCCGAUAUCUGAUUAGCUAGUUGGUGAGGUAAAGGCUCACCAAGGCGACGAUCAGUAGCUGGUCUGAGAGGACGACCAGCCACACUGGAACUGAGACACGGUCCAGACUCCUACGGGAGGCAGCAGUGGGGAAUUUUGGACAAUGGGGGCAGCCCUGAUCCAGCAAUGCCGCGUGAGUGAAGAAGGCCUUCGGGUUGCAAAGCUCUUUUGUCAGGGAAGAAACGGUUGUGGCUAAUAUCCAUGGCUAAUGACGGUACCUGAAGAAUAAGCACCGGCUAACUACGUGCCAGCAGCCGCCGUAAUAC
rnacentral:rRNA from 1 species